GGGAAACUGGGGGUAUACUCCAUAGUUCGUGAUAACUGGAAUGUUUUGCGAACGAAAGAUCCGUCGCUUCAGGAUGAGUCUGCGGCCGAUUAGGUAGUUGUUGGGGUAACGGCCCAACAAGCCUGUCAUCGGUACGGGUUGUGGGAGCAAGAGCCCGGAGAUGGAUUCUGAGACACGGAUCCAGGCCCUACGGGGCGCAGCAGGCGCGAAAACUUUACCAUGCGGGCAACCGUGAUAAGGAAACCCCGAGUGCCAGCACAGGCUGGCUGUCCGCCAGUGUAAAUAACUGGUAAAGAAAGGGCCGGGCAAGACCGGUGCCAGCCGCCGCGGUAAUACCGGCGGCUCGAGUGGUGGCCACUAUUACUGGGCUUAAAGCGUCCGUAGCUUGAUUGUUAAGUCUCUUGGGAAAUCCACCGGCUCAACCGAUGGGCGUUCAGGAGAAACUGGCAAUCUAGGGACCGGGAGAGGUGAGAGGUACUCCAGGGGUAGGAGUGAAAUCCUGUAAUCCUUGGGGGACCACCUGUGGCGAAGGCGUCUCACUAGAACGGCUCCGACAGUGAGGGACGAAAGCUGGGGGAGCAAACCGGAUUAGAUACCCGGGUAGUCCCAGCUGUAAACGAUGCGCGUUAGGUGUAUCGGUGACCACGAGUCAUCGAGGUGCCGAAGGG
rnacentral:rRNA from 1 species